GGGCGGAUGGUUUAGUGGUAUAAUUUUCCCUUAGCAUCGAGUGGCUUACGAGCUACUUUAACGCCUGGGAAAGGUCCGGGGUUCGAUUCCCCGUUCGUCCA